UGAUCGACAUUUUGCCUCCUCCGAUUUGGUUGGCUUUCAUUGGAUUAUGUGUGUUACUCACUCAAGCCUCCACUGAAUUGGUGCGAUUACAAUUGGAUUCUGAGUGCUGGCCUCGAUGGGGGUUCAUCUUGGGCUCAAGAUUUUGUCUACUCCAACAUCACGCCUUCCGGAUUUCCGCUCAAAGUUAUACACCUGCACUGUUUGAUCUGCUGCUACCUCGGGAUCUCCGGUUUUCUUGUGAUUUAUUUCAAAUUCGUUGGGAUUUCAUCCAUCUUCAGUUUGGUCGCCCGAUGUUAAUGGACCUCAUUGACUUACGAUCUGGUGUUCAUCAUCCACACUACACACUGCCUUCUUCCAUAGAAUCAGAGGUGUUGCUUUUGAGUGAUUAACCAGCUGGCCCAUCUGAAGUAUGGAGAGACAUUUUUUACAUUAGAUUGAGACCCAGCAGGCUUCAUGCUCAAACUAUCACAUUCUUUUAUCAAUGUUAGCAUUUCAGUGAUUGUAAAUGGAUGGAUCUGAAUUCAAAUCAUUUUUGUGAAUAUUAGCAUUUUAUUGAUUGUAAAUGAAUGUAUUGGUUACAAAAUAUUUUAA